rnacentral:rRNA from 1 species
AUUGAACGCUGGCGGCAUGCCUUACACAUGCAAGUCGAACGGCAGCGGACCUUCGGGUGCCGGCGAGUGGCGAACGGGUGAGUAAAGUAUCGGAACGUACCUUUCAGUGGGGGAUAACGUAGCGAAAGUUACGCUAAUACCGCAUAUUCUGUGAGCAGGAAAGCAGGGGAUCGCAAGACCUUGCGCUGAUUGAGCGGCCGAUAUCAGAUUAGCUAGUUGGUGAGGUAAAGGCUCACCAAGGCGACGAUCUGUAGCGGGUCUGAGAGGAUGAUCCGCCACACUGGAACUGAGACACGGUCCAGACUCCUACGGGAGGCAGCAGUGGGGAAUUUUGGACAAUGGGGGCAACCCUGAUCCAGCCAUGCCGCGUGAGUGAAGAAGGCCUUCGGGUUGUAAAGCUCUUUCGGUCCGGGAAGAAAUACGCUUAGGUUAAUACCCUGAGUGGAUGACGGUACCGGAAUAAGAAGCACCGGCUAACUACGUGCCAGCAGCCGCGGU